rnacentral:antisense_RNA from 1 species
GGGUGCUCUUGGCUGUCUGUCAGGAGCAUAACAACUGUCACUGGAUGUCGUGACUGGCAGAUAGACGAAAGCCCCGAAAGUUAAUUUCUUAACCAACGAGGCAAUCUGAUGAAACUCGACACUUCUGAUGUUAGCCUCUAUUUAAUUGAGAGGCAAGACGUAUGCUGCGAAG